GGCAAAACAUCAGUAGCUUUAGCUUAGGGUAUUGUGAAGACCAAUGAAGGAAUAAUUAGUUACCUACUGAAGCUCAGUUAUCCGUUUUAUUUCCAUUGUAUCAAUCGGCAGUGCAUCGGUUACUGUAGUUGUCUAUCGAAACUACAUACAUGGAACGUUAAAGCUUUUUUUAUAUAUAUCCCUGUCAAGUAGGAAGUGAGCACAACAGCAUGGUAAACAUUGCAAGAAGGCUAACGUUAGCUUCUUAAGCCACCAAACCAUAAUUUGUAUUCAGUCAUGGCAUCUGAAUUUACUAUAGACAUCCAGCUUACGGAGUUGGGUUUUCACCAUCUUCCUGUAUUCGAUGAGGAGUUACCCAUAAAAGAGACAUCCCAAAUCAAUUCUUCAAGCAGCCCACCAAACGUUCCAGGACCUUCAAAAUCACCUCCUCCAGUAACAAACUCACCUGUGGACCAACGUCUGCUUGGUCUGGUUCAAGAUAAUGUUCAUACUCUUCCCAAAAGUUUGCCGGUUACUGUGCGGGCUGUGAACUCGCCCUCAUCUCAAUCCACCCAUGACAUGGUAGAGAAUAUCCAUCCCCAGUCUCCCCAUCACCUAGCAGUCAUCGAAAAAGACAUUUGUCCUGAAAAGGCGGCUUCCUCCGAUUUGAACCCUAAAACGAAGCCUGUUGUUACCACAAAACAAACACAGGCUGUAGGAGAAAAAAACGAUGAUGGCAAAACGGUUACCACCGAAAACAGAUCGUUUGUUGGCCGCCGUAGAAGAGAAGAGCAAAGCAAUCCAGAAAAGAAGGCCAGUGCCCAGAAGGGUGCGCUCCAGAUAGAUGAGGCGAUCUCCCAGAGUGACUCAAAUGGCAGUCAGGAAAACCCUGCGUUAGAAGAAAGUGAUGACAGUGAGGUUUCAGAACAGGAGGAGGAAGAAGAUGAGGAGGAGGAAGAUGAGGAUGAUGAUAACUUGUUAUUUGCUCCAGACGCGGCGGGAGAGCACCAUUGCAGUGUGUGCCAUCAGGCUUUCAUCAACGGCUUCCUCCUCCGGGAACACAUGCACCAGCAC
ensembl:lncRNA